rnacentral:rRNA from 1 species
AGCGAACGCUGGCGGCAGGCCUAACACAUGCAAGUCGAACGAAGUCUUCGGACUUAGUGGCGGACGGGUGAGUAACACGUGGGAACGUACCUUUUGGUUCGGAACAACUCAGGGAAACUUGAGCUAAUACCGAAUGUGCCCUUAGGGGGAAAGAUUUAUCGCCAUUAGAGCGGCCCGCGUUAGGUUAGCUAGUUGGUGGGGUAAAGGCCCACCAAGGCUACGAUCUAUAGCUGGUCUGAGAGGAUGAUCAGCCACACUGGGACUGAGACACGGCCCAGACUCCUACGGGAGGCAGCAGUGGGGAAUCUUGCGCAAUGGGCGAAAGCCUGACGCAGCCAUGCCGCGUGAAUGAUGAAGGUCUUAGGAUUGUAAAAUUCUUUCAGUAGGGACGAUAAUGACGGUACCUACAGAAGAAGCCCCGGCUAACUUCGUGCCAGCCGCCGCAGUAACAC